GCAGCAGCCACGGUAAUACGUAGGGUGCAAGCGUUAAUCGGAAUUACUGGGCGUAAAGCGUGCGCAGGCGGUUAUAUAAGACAGAUGUGAAAUCCCCGGGCUCAACCUGGGAACUGCAUUUGUGACUGUAUAGCUAGAGUACGGCAGAGGGGGAUGGAAUUCCGCGUGUAGCAGUGAAAUGCGUAGAUAUGCGGAGGAACACCGAUGGCGAAGGCAAUCCCCUGGGCCUGUACUGACGCUCAUGCACGAAAGCGUGGGGAGCAAACAGGAUUAGAUACCCCCGUAGUCCCUGUCUCUUAUAC
rnacentral:rRNA from 1 species